UACGAAGGGGGCUAGCGUUGCUCGGAAUCACUGGGCGUAAAGGGUGCGUAGGCGGGUCUUUAAGUCAGGGGUGAAAUCCUGGAGCUCAACUCCAGAACUGCCUUUGAUACUGAAGAUCUUGAGUUCGGGAGAGGUGAGUGGAACUGCGAGUGUAGAGGUGAAAUUCGUAGAUAUUCGCAAGAACACCAGUGGCGAAGGCGGCUCACUGGGCAGUGGCUGACGCUGAGGCGCGACAGCGUGGGGAGCAAACAGG
rnacentral:rRNA from 1 species